rnacentral:rRNA from 1 species
AACAAGGUUUCCGUAGGUGAAUCUGGGAUCAUUGU